CACGUAGGGUGCGAGCGUUGUCCGGAAUUAUUGGGCGUAAAGAGCUCGUAGGCGGUGUGUCGCGUCGGCCGUGAAAACCUGCAGCUUAACUGUGGGCUUGCGGUCGAUACGGGCAUCACUGGAGUUCGGGCAGGGGAGACUGGAAUUCCUGGUGUAGCGGUGAAAUGCGCAGAUAUCAGGAGGGAACACCCGGUGGGCGAAAGGCGG
rnacentral:rRNA from 1 species